rnacentral:rRNA from 1 species
GACGAACGCUGGCGGCGUGCCUAACACAUGCAAGUCGAACGGAGUUUAAUAACGGAAGCCUUCGGGCGGAAGAUAUUAAACUUAGUGGCGGACGGGUGAGUAACGCGUGAGCAACCUGCCUCUCAGAGGGGGAUAACGUUUGGAAACGAACGCUAAUACCGCAUAACAUAUCUUUACCGCAUGAUAGAGAUAUCAAAGGAGCAAUCCGCUGAGAGAUGGGCUCGCGUCCGAUUAGAUAGUUGGCAGGGUGAUAGCCUACCAAGGCGACGAUCGGUAGCCGACCUGAGAGGGUGAUCGGCCACAUUGGAACUGAGAUACGGUCCAA